CAACCCUUAAGCCUAGCUUAGUAUUGGGAACCUACGGUACCGGCGUGUUUUGCUACCCUGUAGCCGCGCCUCGUAGCUCCUUAAAGACAACGGCGGAGACGUAGAGUCCUCUAAGCUUAGUAAUUUGUUUCUAGCUUCUGAAGGCCCUGCGGCCCCUGCCGUAAAACCCCUCCUCGGAGGAACUUUCUCGU
rnacentral:misc_RNA from 1 species